UACGUAGGUGGCAAGCGUUGUCCGGAUUUACUGGGUGUAAAGGGCGUGUAGCCGGGCUAACAAGUCAGAUGUGAAAUCCGGGGGCUCAGCCCCCGAACUGCAUUUGAAACUGUUGGUCUUGAGUAUCGGAGAGGCAGGCGGAAUUCCUAGUGUAGCGGUGAAAUGCGUAGAUAUUAGGAGGAACACCAGUGGCGAAGGCGGCCUGCUGGACGACAACUGACGGUGAGGCGCGAAAGCGUGGGGAGCAAACAGG
rnacentral:rRNA from 1 species